rnacentral:rRNA from 1 species
UAGAGUUUGAUCCUGGCUCAGAUUGAACGCUGGCGGCAGGCCUAACACAUGCAAGUCGAACGGUAACAGGAAGAAGCUUGCUUCUUUGCUGACGAGUGGCGGACGGGUGAGUAAUGUCUGGGAAACUGCCUGAUGGAGGGGGAUAACUACUGGAAACGGUAGCUAAUACCGCAUAACGUCGCAAGACCAAAGAGGGGGACCUUCGGGCCUCUUGCCAUCGGAUGUGCCCAGAUGGGAUUAGCUUGUUGGUGGGGUAACGGCUCACCAAGGCGACGAUCCCUAGCUGGUCUGAGAGGAUGACCAGCCACACUGGAACUGAGACACGGUCC